rnacentral:rRNA from 1 species
UACAGAGGUCCCAAGCGUUGUUCGGAUUCACUGGGCGUAAAGGGUGCGUAGGUGGCCAGGUAAGUCUGAUGUGAAAUCUCCGAGCUCAACUCGGAAAUGGCAUUGGAAACUAUCUGGCUGGAGGGUCGGAGGGGGGACUGGAAUUCUCGGUGUAGCAGUGAAAUGCGUAGAUAUCGAGAGGAACACCAGUGGCGAAGGCGAGUCCCUGGACGACUCCUGACACUGAGGCACGAAAGCUAGGGGAGCAAACAGG